GUGUCCUUGAGCCUUCACAAUUUGGAACAAGUAUUCUGCAAUCCACAAUCUUAGAUGCUCACUGUCUUCGCCCAGACAUUGAUGUAUCUGCCAUUUAAAGACAAGACAGUCUUACCAAACACAGCAGUAGAACCUGAAAGGAACAAUGAACAUGAAAAGAGACUCCAAGAGAUGCAGACAUUCUUGUUGGCCUACCUCACAGCAAAGAUGGAGAAUAAUAGCCAGAAAUUUGAGGCGGGGGUGUAUUUUAUCAGUGAUGGAGGAAGAGGAGCAGCUACGGAAGGAAGUCCAUGAGAAGAAGCAUUAGUACCUCCUCCUGGAGAAGAACAAGCAGCUUGAUGACCAGCUCGAUUUACAGG